rnacentral:snRNA from 1 species
GUGCUCACUUAAACAGCAUAUAUACUGAAAUUGGAAUGAUACAUAGAGGAUUAGCAGGGCCCCUGCAUGAGGGUGACAUGCAAAUUCAUGAAGUGUAUCGUAUUUUU